CAUCCACCUGAAAACAUCUCAUUACAUCAGUUCAUGCCAAUUACGUGAAAACCUAAUUUGAUUUUUCACCAAAAGGGAUGUUUUUACCAAACCUUAGAGUGAGUGAGUGAGUGAGUGAGUUUAGUUUUA